GCGGAGGAAAAGAAACCAACAGGGAUUGCCUCAGUAACGGCGAGUGAAGCGGCAACAGCUCAAAUUUGAAAUCUGGCCUCUUUGGGGUCCGAGUUGUAAUUUGUAGAGGAUGUUUCGGGUACCGCCUCGGUUUAAAUUUCUUGGAACAGAAUGUCAGAGAGGGUGAGAAUCCCGUCUUGGACCGGCGGUAGGGCCCAUGUGAAACUCCUUCGACGAGUCGAGUUGUUUGGGAAUGCAGCUCAAAAUGGGUGGUAAAUUUCAUCUAAAGCUAAAUAUUGGCCAGAGACCGAUAGCGCACAAGUAGAGUGAUCGAAAGAUGAAAAGCACUUUGAAAAGAGAGUUAAACAGUAUGUGAAAUUGUUGAAAGGGAAGCGCUUACAACCAGACUUGCGCGCGGCGGUUCCCCCUUCCUUUUGGUUGGGCUACUCCGUCGUGUCCAGGCCAACAUCGGUUCUGGGGGUCGGUUAAAGACCUUGGGAAUGUACCUACCCUUCGGGCGUAGACUUAUAGCCCCAGGGUGUCAUGCGACCUCCCGGGACCGAGGAA
rnacentral:rRNA from 1 species